rnacentral:rRNA from 1 species
GAUGAACGCUGGCGGCGUGCUUAACACAUGCAAGUCGAACGAUGAAGCUCAGCUUGCUGGGUGGAUUAGUGGCGAACGGGUGAGUAACACGUGAGUAACCUGCCCUUAACUCUGGGAUAAGCCUGGGAAACUAGGUCUAAUACCGGAUAGGAGCGCCUACCGCAUGGUGGGUGUUGGAAAAAUUUAUCGGUUUUGGAUGGACUCGCGGCCUAUCAGCUUGUUGGUGAGGUAAUGGCUCACCAAGGCGACGACGGGUAGCCGGCCUGAGAGGGUGACCGGCCACACUGGGACUGAGACACGGCCCAGACUCCUACGGGAGGCAGCAGUGGGGAAUAUUGCACAAUGGGCGAAAGCCUGAUGCAGCGACGCCGCGUGAGGGAUGACGGCCUUCGGGUUGUAAACCUCUUUCAGUAGGGAAGAAGCGAAAGUGACGGUACCUGCAGAAGAAGCACCGGCUAACUACGUA